UCUGCCUAGUAGUGGGGGAUAACUUGCCGAAAGGUAAGCUAAUACCGCGUACGUCCUACGGGAGAAAGCAGGGGACCUUCGGGCCUUGCGCUAUUAGAUGAGCCUAGGUCGGAUUAGUUAGUUGGUGAGGUAAUGGCUCACCAAGACAGCGAUCCGUAACUGGUCUGAGAGGAUGAUCAGUCACACUGGAACUGAGACACGGUCCAGACUCCUACGGGAGGCAGCAGUGGGGAAUAUUGGACAAUGGGGGGAACCCUGAUCCAGCCAUGCCGCGUGUGUGAAGAAGGUCUUAGGAUUGUAAAGCACUUUAAGUUGGGAGGAAGGGCAGUUAACUAAUAUUUGACUGUUUUGACGUUACCGACAGAAUAAGCACCGGCUAACUUCGUGCCAGCAGCCGCGGUAAUACGAAGGGUGCAAGCGUUAAUCGGAAUUACUGGGCGUAAAGCGCGCGUAGGUGGUUCGUUAAGUUAGGAGUGAAAGCCCCGGGCUCAACCUGGGGAAUUGCUUCUAAAACUGGCGGGCUAGAGUAUGGUAAAGGGUGGUGGAAUUUCCUGUGUAGCGGUGAAAUGCGUACAUAUAGGAAAGGAACAUCAAUGGCGAAGGCGACCAUCUGGACUGAUACUGACACUGAGGUGCGAAAGCGUGGGGAGCAACGAGGAUUAGAUACCCUGGUAAUCCCCACCGUAAACGAUGUCAAGUA
rnacentral:rRNA from 1 species